rnacentral:misc_RNA from 1 species
AACGCACCUUGCGCCCUCUGGUAUUCCGGAGGGCAUGCCUGUUUGAGUGUCAUGUAGACUCAAUCCUCGGGGUUUCCCGGGAUUGGACCUGGGCGUUGCCUCUGGCUCGCCUUAAAUGCCUUAGCUGUGGAGUGUCAGUGGACGUAAUAAGUUUCGUCCGCAAAGCACGACUGUGGCUCACAACCCCAUCUUUUGACUUAGACCUCAGAUCAGGUAGGACUACCCGCUGAACUUAA